CGGGUGAGUAACGCGUGAGUAACCUGCCUUGCAGAGGGGGAUAACGUCUGGAAACGGACGCUAAUACCGCAUGAAAUUGAGAGAUCGCAUGGUCUUUCAAUCAAAGGAGCAAUCCGCUGUAAGAUGGACUCGCGUCCGAUUAGCUAGUUGGCGGGGUAAAGGCCCACCAAGGCGACGAUCGGUAGCCGGACUGAGAGGUUGAACGGCCACAUUGGGACUGAGACACGGCCCAGACUCCUACGGAAGGCAGCAG
rnacentral:rRNA from 1 species